UUCCUAGUAGGUCAGGUCUCACAGUGAAACACUGGCUGAACGAAGGAAAGAAUCAAGAUCUUCUGACUCCCUGGAGAGACAAAGAAUGAUUCAUUCAUAUACAUCCCAAGCACUAACAAGAAAGAGAUGACUUGUUCCAGGGCCAGGCCUUAUCCUCAGGAGUGUGCAGUCACAACCCCAGCUGUUCAUAAGCACCUUCUCAGCUGUUUGCAGCUUCCACCCUCAGCUCUGUAUAGUCCCUUCCAGCUGUGUGCAGUUGCCAUUCUCGUUAUUUGCAAUUUUCAUCCCCCUUUGGGCAUCAGGCUGGAGUGCAAUGGCGUGAUCUUGGCUCGCUGCGACCUCUGCCUCCCAGGUUCAAGUGAUUCUCCUGCCUCAACCUCCUGAGUAGCUGUGACUACAGGCAUGCACCACCACG